rnacentral:rRNA from 1 species
UACGGAGGGUGCAAGCGUUGUUCGGAAUUAUUGGGCGUAAAGCGCGUGUAGGCGGUCUGUUAAGUCUGAUGUGAAAGCCCCGGGCUCAACCCGGGAAGUGCAUUGGAAACUGGCAGACUUGAGUACGGGAGAGGGUAGUGGAAUUCCGAGUGUAGGGGUGAAAUCCGUAGAUAUUCGGAGGAACACCGGUGGCGAAGGCGGCUACCUGGACCGAUACUGACGCUGAGACGCGAAAGCGUGGGGAGCAAACAGGAUUAGAAACCCCCGUAGUCC